rnacentral:rRNA from 1 species
GAUGAACGCUGGCGGCGUGCCUAAUACAUGCAAGUCGAGCGAAUGGAUUAAGAGCUUGCUCUUAUGAAGUUAGCGGCGGACGGGUGAGUAACACGUGGGUAACCUGCCCUUAAGACUGGGAUAACUCCGGGAAACCGGGGCUAAUACCGGAUAACAUUUUGAACCGCAUGGUUCGAAAUUGAAAGGCGGCUUCGACUGUCACUUAUGGAUGGACCCGCGUCGCAUUAGCUAGUUGGUGAGGUAACGGCUCACCAAGGCAACGAUGCGUAGCCGAACUGAGAGGGUGAACGGCCACACUGGGACUGAGACACGGCCCAGACUCCUACGGGAGGCAGCAGUAGGGAAUCUUCCGCAAUGGACGAAAGUCUGUCGGAGCAACGCCGCGUGAGUGAUGAAGGCUUUCGGGUCGUAAAACUCUGUUGUUAGGGAAGAACAAGUGCUAGUUGAAUAAUCUGGCACCUUGACGUUACCUAACCAGAAAGCCACGGCUAACUACGUGCCAGCAGCCGCCGUAA